ACGGCACGCCAGUGCGCAAAGGUAAGCGAGCGCUUCUCAGCACGCACGAUCACCGGAUCGUGCGGUAUUGAUGAGUGAUUGGUGAUCUAUCAGCAUGUCGCUGUACGCGUCUCAGAUUAAAGCGUUUAAGAGCGCGGAGCCCAAGACACUUGGCGCUAUUGAGAUCAUAAUUGGUGUGUUUACUGUCAUUCUGAGCACAAUUGUGUAUAAGCUGCACUACCAUAUCCAGCGUGAAAUCAUCAUCCUCAUCAUCAACGGUGCUCAGCUUGUCAUAACUGGUGUUGUCCUGGUGCACACUGGGAGGAAACCAUCUAAAUGUCUGGUGCUGACAACAUUUGUUCUGCAGUUACUAACAGCAGCAUUUGAUAUUGUUGGAUUUGGGCUGAUGGCCAGACACAUCCCAUUCAGAGGAGACUCGUACUACUACAGGGACACAGAGUUCUUAGUGAAUGGGAUCUUGGUGACACUGAUCGGUUUCCUGAUGCUAGCAUGUGCCAUUGGUUUGGUUGUUUCUCUUUUUGGGGUCUACGCCCUUUCUGUUAGUGCCAUAAAGGUACGUAUUUUAGCAUUGCUCGCAAUAUCUGAGAAUUAUGUUCUGUUUAAGGUAUCUAUUAAUGUUCUAAGGCUAAUUUGUAAUGAAACUGAUUAUCCAACUGACUGUUUACCCUCAGGAGCUGACUCCUAUCCCUCACUCUACACCAAACCAGCAUUAUGUUGAUGGCGUUCAGACCCAGAAAACGAUCCAUGCCGGAAACUGACAAAAUAAGAGGCAGAAGGGCACAGUUUUAGCACAGUUUUUCACCAACUGCAAAAGAGGACUGUUUCACCUACAAACCACUCACAGGUAACCAACCACAACCACAGGAAAAAAAAAAAAAAACCUUUUGUGAAGUUGUAAAUAAUUUUUUUUUUAAAUAAAAUGGAUAAAAUCUCAUUUUUUGCUUGGCUG
ensembl:lncRNA